rnacentral:tRNA from 1 species
GCCUUCGUAGUGUAGUGGUCAGCACGCUGGACGCGUAUUCCAGAGCUCCGUGGUAAAGUGGUCAGCACGCUCGACGCAUGUAUUCGAGAGGUACGUGGUUCGAAUCCCAACGAGAGCA